rnacentral:rRNA from 1 species
AGAGCGAACGCUGGCGGCAGGCCUAAUACAUGCAAGUCGAACGGAUCCUUCGGGAUUAGUGGCGGACGGGUGAGUAACACGUGGGAACGUACCCUUUGGUUCGGAACAACUCAGGGAAACUUGAGCUAAUACCGAAUGUGCCCUUCGGGGAAAAGAUUUAUCGCCAUUGGAGCGGCCCGCGUCUGAUUAGCUAGUUGGUAGGGUAAAGGCCUACCAAGGCUACGAUCAGUAGCUGGUCUGAGAGGAUGAUCAGCCACACUGGGACUGAGACACGGCCCAGACUCCUACGGGAGGCAGCAGUAGGGAAUCUUGCGCAAUGGGCGAAAGCCUGACGCAGCCAUGCCGCGUGAAUGAUGAAGGUCUUAGGAUUAGUAAAUUCUUUCAGCGGGACGCUAAUGACGGUACCGCAGAGAACGCCCGGCUAACUUCGUGCCAGCAGCCGC